rnacentral:rRNA from 1 species
GAUGAACGCUCGCGGCGUGCCUAAUACAUGCAAGUCGAGCGAACAGACGAGGAGCUUGCUCCUCUGAUGUUAGCGGCGGACGGGUGAGUAACACGUGGAUAACCUACCUAUAAGACUGGGAUAACUUCGGGAAACCGGAGCUAAUACCGGAUAACAUGUUGAACCGCAUGGUUCAACAGUGAAAGACGGUCUUGCUGUCACUUAUAGAUGGAUCCGCGCCGCAUUAGCUAGUUGGUAAGGUAACGGCUUACCAAGGCAACGAUGCGUAGCCGACCUGAGAGGGUGAUCGGCCACACUGGAACUGAGACACGGUCCAGACUCCUACGGGAGGCAGCAGUAGGGAAUCUUCCGCAAUGGGCGAAAGCCUGACGGAGCAACGCCGCGUGAGUGAAGAAGGUCUUCGGAUCGUAAAACUCUGUUAUUAGGGAAGAACAAAUGUGUAAGUAACUAUGCACGUCUUGACGGUACCUAAUCAGAAAGCCACGGCUAACUACGUG